rnacentral:misc_RNA from 1 species
GAUGAAGAACGUAGCGAAAUGCGAUACGUAAUGUGAAUUGCAGAAUUCAGUGAAUCAUCGAGUCUUUGAACGCACAUUGCGCCCCCUGGUAUUCCGGGGGGCAUGCCUGUCCGAGCGUCAUUGCUGCCCUCAAGCACGGCUUGUGUGUUGGGCCUCCGUCCUCCUCCCGGGGGACGGGCUCGAAAGGCAGCGGCGGCACCGCGUCCGGUCCUCGAGCGUAUGGGGCUUCGUCACCCGCUCUUGUAGGCCCGGCCGGCGCUUGCCGACACAUCAAUCUUUUUUCCAGGUUGACCUCGGAUCAGGUAGGGAUACCCGCUGAACUUAAGCAUAUCAAUAAGCGGAGGA